ensembl:piRNA 21ur-1784 ncRNA
UGGACGGUUUAAAUUAACUUC